GGGACGUUAGCUCAGCUGGUUUAGAGCGCCUCCUUGACAGGGAGGAGGUCACUGGUUCGAAUCCAGUACGCCCCA
rnacentral:tRNA from 1 species